AUCCAAGUGCAGGGGUUUUACGCGUAUCAGUGAGGAUUCGUCCGAGAUCGCGUUUUUGCUAGUUGAAAACUACAUACCUGACCGCUCCUGCCAGGCUUGUACUGGUAGGGAAUUUUUGUAACCUCUCUCUCCUUGUGGG
rnacentral:snRNA from 1 species